rnacentral:rRNA from 1 species
GACGAACGCUGGCGGCGUGCUUAACACAUGCAAAUCGAACGGAGUGGCGAACGGGUGAGUAACGCGUGGGUGAUCUGCCUUGCAUUUGGGAUAAGCCUGGGAAACUGGGUUAAAACCCGGGUGGUGAAAGAUGAGCUCGGGGCCUAUCGGCUUGUUGGGUGGGUAAUGGCCUACCAAGGGGUCGAGGGGUAGCCGGCCUGGGAGGGUGUACGGCCACAUUGGGACUGAGAUACGGCCCAGACGCCUACGGGAGGCAGCAGUGGGGAAGAUUGCACAAUGGGCGGAAGCCUGAUGCAGCGACGCCGCGUGGGGGAUGAAGGCCUUCGGGUUGUAAACUCCUUUCGACAGGGACGCGGUACCUGUAUAAGAAGCACCGGCUAACUACGUGCCAGCAGCCGCGGUAAUAC